rnacentral:rRNA from 1 species
AUUGAACGCUGGCGGCAUGCUUUACACAUGCAAGUCGAACGGUAACAGGCCGCAAGGUGCUGACGAGUGGCGAACGGGUGAGUAAUGCAUCGGAACGUGCCCAGUCGUGGGGGAUAACUACUCGAAAGAGUAGCUAAUACCGCAUACGAUCUAUGGAUGAAAGCGGGGGACCGUAAGGCCUCGCGCGAUUGGAGCGGCCGAUGUCAGAUUAGGUAGUUGGUGGGGUAAAGGCUCACCAAGCCAACGAUCUGUAGCUGGUCUGAGAGGACGACCAGCCACAUUGGGACGGGAACACGGCCCCAACCCCUAGGGGAGGCAGAAGUGGGGAAUUUUGGAAAAUGGGCGAAAGCCUGACCCAGCAAUGCCGGGGGAAGGAAGAAGGCCUUCGGGUUGUAAACUGGUUUUAUAGGGAACGAAACGGCUCCGGUUAAACCCCGGGGCUAAUGACGGUACCGAAAGAAAAAGCCCCGGCAAACUACGU